GGGUUACGUUUUAUUAAAAUUGGCAAUAGAAGGGAUAGGAUAGAUCUAAAAUUGGCACUGAUUCUCCAGGCGCAGUGAGUUGUGCCUAGAAAUUUUUGAAGCUGUUAAGAAAGAAAACGUAGCCAGAACCAGCCCUAGCCCUUCGUCUUCAACUUUGAGCCUUCGAACCAGCGUGAACCCUUCGAACCAGCACGUAACCAGCAGGAGCCCUUCCUCUUCGACCCUUUGAACCAGCACGAGGCCUUUGUCUCCGAGCCUUCGAACCAGCACGAGUCCUUUGUCUUCAAGAUUUGGGACGACACAGUUGAUGGUUCACCUGGUAGGCGUCGCUUACCUAGCCCAAGGAAGAUGGAUGUUUCUCCUUUGAAGAAGGAAGAAUUAGUGAAAUUUGCCAGAAGACGUCAAAUUAAGAGAUGGAGUUUGUUGGAAGAAGACACUUUUAAGAAUUGCUGUGCAGAAGUAUGGAAAAGGAAAUUGGAAGCUUAUUUUGAGUAUGUAUCAUGAUGUAUUCAAAGAGAGAACUGAGGUGGACUUAAAGGACAAGUGGAGAAAUAUGAUAAGGUAAUUAUAGUGAUGGAUACAUCAUUGCUCUUUUUUUGUAUGAUGAGGAUGUGUUCUCCGCCCAUUUGGUAUGUCCUUCUGCAGUUUUUGCCCUUGUGCUAUGAUAGAGUAAGGUUCUCACUCAAAUAGGUGUCAAAGUAAAAAACCUGUCAUUACUCUGGCAUCCUCUGUAAAGUUUGUGCUGUUCUUGUACAUGGUGAUUUUGUGCAGUUCUUGUACAUGGUGAUUUUGUGAAUAUAAUUGAUGUAGUUCAUGUCCCAA